AUAGGGGAGCCGAAGGGAAACCGAGUCUUAACUGGGCGUUAAGUUGCAGGGUAUAGACCCGAAACCCGGUGAUCUAGCCAUGGGCAGGUUGAAGGUUGGGUAACACUAACUGGAGGACCGAACCGACUAAUGUUGAAAAAUUAGCGGAUGACUUGUGGCUGGGGGUGAAAGGCCAAUCAAACCGGGAGAUAGCUGGUUCUCCCCGAAAGCUAUUUAGGUAGCGCCUCGUGAACUCAUCUUCGGGGGUAGAGCACUGUUUCGGCUAGGGGGUCAUCCCGACUUACCAACCCGAUGCAAACUGCGAAUACCGAAGAAUGUUAUCACGGGAGACACACGGCGGGUGCUAACGUCCGUCGUGAAGAGGGAAACAACCCAGACCGCCAGCUAAGGUCCCAAAGUCACAGUUAAGUGGGAAACGAUGUGGGAAGGCUCAGACAGCCAGGAUGUUGGCUUAGAAGCAGCCAUCAUUUAAAGAAAGCGUAAUAGCUCACUGGUCGAGUCGGCCUGCGCGGAAGAUGUAACGGGGCUAAACUGUGCACCGAAGCUGCGGCAGCGACGCUUAUGCGUUGUUGGGUAGGGGAGCGUUCUGUAAGCCUGCGAAGGUGUCCUGUGAGGGAUGCUGGAGGUAUCAGAAGUGCGAAUGCUGACAUAAGUAACGAUAAUGCGGGUGAAAAGCCCGCUCGCCGGAAGACCAAGGGUUCCUGUCCAACG
rnacentral:rRNA from 1 species